rnacentral:rRNA from 1 species
GAUGAACGCUGGCGGCGUGCCUAAUACAUGCAAGUCGAGCGAACGGACGAGAAUCUUGCUUCUCUGAUGUUAGCGGCGGACGGGUGAGUAACACGUGGAUAACCUACCUAUAAGACUGGGAUAACUUCGGGAAACCUGAUCUAAUACCGGAUGAUAUUUUGAACCGCAUGGUUCAAAAGUGAAAGACGGUCUUGCUGUCACUUAUAGAUGUAUCCUCGCUGCAUUAGCUAGUUGGUAAGGUAACGGCUUACCAAGGCAACGAUGUAUAGCCGACCUGAGAGGGUGACCGGCCACACUGGAACUGAGACACGGUCCAGACUCCUACGGGAGGCAGCAGUAGGGAAUCCUGCGCAAUGGGCGAAAGCCUGACGGAGCAACGCCGCGUGAGUGAUGAAGGUCUUCGGAUCGUAAAACUCUGUUAUUAGGGAAGAACAUAUGUGUAAGUAACUGUGCACAUCUUGACGGUACCUAAUCAGAAAGCCACGGCUAACUACGUG